UGGGGUGUGGUUCAGUGGUAGAGUGCUCACCUAGCAUGCGCGAGGCACUGGGUUCGAUCCUCAGCACCACAU
rnacentral:tRNA from 1 species